rnacentral:rRNA from 1 species
UACGGGGGGAGCAAGCGUUGUUCGGAUUUACUGGGCGUAAAGGGCGCGUAGGCGGCCACCGCAAGUCAAUUGUGAAAUCUCCGGGCUUAACUCGGAAAGGUCAACUGAUACUGCGGGGCUAGAGUGCGGAAGGGGCAACUGGAAUUCUCGGUGUAGCGGUGAAAUGCGUAGAUAUCUGGAGGAACACCGGUGGCGAAGGCGGCAUCCUGGACCAACACUGACGCUGAGGAGCGAAAGCCAGGGGAGCAAACGGG